GGGACCCGAUUUGCCCCCACCCUGUCCGCUUUCUAAGCGGGACCGAGUCCUCCUCCGCCCGGUCCGCCCCCACCCGGUCCCGUUUCUAAGCAGGACCCAGUUUCUAAGCGGGACCCAGUCCAUGGGCACCCGGUCCGGUUUCGAAGCGGGCCCCUCUACGGACCCCACGCGGUCCGGUUUCCAAGCGGGACCCAGUCCGCGCACACCCGGUCCCGUUUCUAAGUGGGACCCGGUUCAGCCCCAGAGCCUUCCGGUUUCUAAGACGGAAGUAGGCCCCUCCGACCUGGUCCUCGUGCUAAGCGUGGCCCAGUCUCCUCACAGCCAGCCACCCAGGGUUCUAUGUUGGACCCAGCCGGCCCCUAGUCUUAGUUUCUAAGUCAUACCCAGGCCCACCCUGCGCCUCGUCCAGUUUCUAAAUUGGGCCCAAUCUGACUCAGCCGGUGUCUGGACUCAGUCCGGAGAGAGAAAUGCUCGGGUCAAAUCUGAAACACCUUGAGAGCUGAGAGCUAGCAUCCAACAGGGACGUACAGCCUCCAGAGGCAGCGGGAAAGCAGAAGCUCAGGGGGCUCAGCAGAUCCUGACAGUUCUGCUCGUGUGGGCUGUGUGAUGCACCCAUUGGAGGGUGUGGGGUACACCAGCAUGGACCAUGAGGUUCUCUGCCUCUCUUUUUCUGGUUAGACUUCAGAGGCUGAUGCUCCACUUCGGAAACUAGAUUUGGGUGUGAGCCACUGUGCCUUCUACCUGACAGUGGAGAGGAUUCCAAGUGACAAGGCUUAAAGCACCUUGGAGAGUACCCCACUGACAGUGUUGGACGGACUGUUCCAUGUGGUGAAGAAGGAACCAUGGAGGGGGGAGGGAAUGAGCAGCUGUUAAGAAUGAUUAAACUUGGGGUGCCUGCGUGGCUCGGUCGGUUGAGCAUCCAACUUUGGCUCAGGUCGUGAUCUCCCAAAUCAUGAGUUUGAGCCCCACAACGGGCUUUCUGCUGUCAGCGAAGAGCCCGCUUCUGAUUCUGUGUCUCCUUCUCUCUGUCCUUGCCCUGCUCAUUCUCUCUCUCUCUCUCUCUCUCUCUCUCUCUCUCAAAAAUAAGUAAACAUUUAAAAAAAAGAAUGAUUAAACUCAUCAGGUCACUGCUGAUUUUAGGUCAGCCUAAAAUACUUCAAAGCUUAUUGGUGUUCUGGGUAUAGAGUCCAAAAUCCUUGCCAUGGCUCUCACGAUCACCCACGGUGUAACUGCCUGCUUCUUCAGCCACACGUGAGAUGCCUCUCCUUCCUUCCCAUUGCCCCAGCCACACUGGCCUUGGUAUUUCCUCAGAUGUGAUUGGCUCUCUUGCCAGAGCAGCUUUAUGUAAAUGGUUCCUUCCUCGCAGAUCAGUUUUCUUCUCCAGCCUACAGGCAGCCCACUACAACAUGUUCUUCUCUGACCCCUCAAACUCGGUUAGUGCCCCCAGUUUUACAACCUCUGGCACCCUUUACUUGCCCUUUCUCAAAACUCAUCAUCUUUCAACAGCUUGUCCACGGUGUCUUCUUCACUAGACCACGAGCUCCGUGAGGGUAAACACCAAGCCUGUCUCAUCCAUCCCAGGAUCUGCCAUGGCGGUCCCCUUGCCAGGUGGACACCAGACUCAAGAAAUAGCUGUUCAGUGAAUGCAUGUCUCAAAGCUUUUAAGUUUUAAGGAUAAUUCUCCGAGCCAACUGCGUGAUGAUACUGGAAACAUAAGAACUGAACGGGCUCUUCCUGCUCUGUGUCUCCCAAAUCCAGCUGGGAAGCAGGAGGUUUGAAGGACAAGCAUUAUAGAUGGGGACUCUGGGUGAAGAACCUCAGCCAGGGAGCCAGGCCAGGACUGUCAUUGUGAAAUAGGAACAUUUUCAUGGGAGGUGACCCUUUGCUGGAACCCCUCAAUUCCAAUGUGGUCGAUAGCUUUGGAUUGUUAUGCAAUGUGACUAAUUCACCUGUGGAAAAAAUUUAGCUCUAACAGUAGUGCUAUUUUUUGUUUUUCAUUAAAAUCCUGAUAUCCUGACUAAUCAACUGGACUGUGUCCAGACUGUACCAUUUCUCUAACAUUAAAAAAUAACCUGUAACCACACCAGCAAAGCCACCCCUUAACAAAUAAAGGACCAAUGGGAACCGAAGGAAUCUAGAGCCCCCUCACCACACACACACACACACACAAAAAAUGACUAAGGAAAUAAUGUGGCCUGAAUUGUUGUUUAAUGUAAUCGAAUUAGACCUCCAUAUCUGAAUAGGCUUGGCCUUCUGAGUGUGUGUCAUUUGGUCCAUCUCUCUAAAUCACUCACUUGAGUGCCUACUGUCUAGAACCCUAGGGGCUGGUAAUCAAAGUGAAGUAACUGUUUCUAUCCAGAGAUCUUAUUGUCCAUUUGGAGAGACAGAAUGGAAAAGAGUAAGUGAACCAAAGUGCUAGAGGAAUGACAAUAUAUAACUUUCAAAUUCCAAGCAAUGCAUCCAGCGGUCAUAGAGAGGCAUACCCUGAGGAAUCGGGAACAACCCCAAGAGCACCAGUCCUACAUUUUCUGCACCUCUGGCAUUUACUAUUGGCUCAUGGGUUCUCAGUUUUUCACAUGACCUCAUGUUUCAAUGCUGUGUAGGACUGUCUUCUCCAAAUUAGCACACAUAAAUGCCAAAGAGUCAAAACUCUACUAAUUAUCCCAAACUUUGUGACUGCUUUUUGGUACUACUUUACCUAGAAACUCCAUAUUCGUGUUCUCAGAGUUCUUAAAUUAUUAAACACUGUUUAAAGAUGGUUUGCAUGA